rnacentral:pre_miRNA from 1 species
AUAGACGAGUAUGAAUUUAGUGCACGUGCAUCGUAUUAUUUCGUGACUAGAUACAUACUCUUCUACG